AGUGAACGCUGGCGGUAGGCCUAACACAUGCAAGUCGAACGGCAGCACAGUAAGAGUUUGCUCUUACGGGUGGCGAGUGGCGGACGGGUGAGGAAUACAUCGGAAUCUACUUUUUCGUGGGGGAUAACGUAGGGAAACUUACGCUAAUACCGCAUACGACCUACGGGUGAAAGCAGGGGAUCUUCGGACCUUGCGCGAUUGAAUGAGCCGAUGUCGGAUUAGCUAGUUGGCGGGGUAAAGGCCCACCAAGGCGACGAUCCGUAGCUGGUCUGAGAGGAUGAUCAGCCACACUGGAACUGAGACACGGUCCAGACUCCUACGGGAGGCAGCAGUGGGGAAUAUUGGACAAUGGGCGCAAGCCUGAUCCAGCCAUACCGCGUGGGUGAAGAAGGCCUUCGGGUUGUAAAGCCCUUUUGUUGGGAAAGAAAAGCAGCAGGUUAAUACCCCGCUGUUCUGACGGUACCCAAAGAAUAAGCACCGGCUAACUUCGU
rnacentral:rRNA from 1 species